rnacentral:rRNA from 1 species
GAUGAACGCUGGCGGCGUGCCUAAUACAUGCAAGUCGAGCGAACGGACGAGAAGCUUGCUUCUCUGAUGUUAGCGGCGGACGGGUGAGUAACACGUGGAUAACCUACCUAUAAGACUGGGAUAACUUCGGGAAACCGGAGCUAAUACCGGAUGAUAUUUUGAACCGUAUGGUUCAAAAGUGAAAGACGGUCUUGCUGUCACUUAUAGAUGGAUCGCCGCUUCAUUAGCUAGUUGGUAAGGUAACGGCUUACCAAGGCAACGAUGCAUAGCCGCCCUGAGAGGGGGAUCGGCCCCACUGGAACUGAGACACGGCCACAACGCCAACGGGAGGCAGCAGUAGGGAAUCUGCCGCGAUGGGCGAGAGAAUAACGGACAAACGCCGCGUGAGUGAUGCAGGACUUCUGAUCGUAAAAAUCUGUUAUUAGGGAAGAACAGAUGUGUAAGUAACUAUGAACAUCUUGACGGUACCUAAUCAGAAAGCCACGGCUAACUACGUG